GGAUGCGAUCAUACCAGCACUAAUGCACCGGAUCCCAUCAGAACUCCGAAGUGAAACGUGAUUGGGCGAGGGUAGUACUAGGAUGGGUGACCCCCUGGGAAGUCCUCGUGUUGCAUCCC
rnacentral:rRNA from 1 species